AAUAAAAAAGGGGCCUUGCUCUCCCACUGUGAGACAGACUUGCAUGGGAUUCCUUCAGUGCAGAAUUCUGGAAUGUUGAUGAACACCAGGACAUCAACUGGGAGUGGCCCAGAAGCCCGAAGCUGAGAGGACAAAGCUCACUGGGCCCCAGUUGCUUCUCUUCUCCACGGUGAUUUCUGCAUACUUUAUCCAAACCCCCUCCCCACCGCUGUUCAGUUUCUGGCUCCUCUUCCUGCCCGUGCUCUGAGGCCAGCUGGGGGCCUCCCAGGUGACUCCUGCUGCUGCUGUCACUGGACCCUGACGCUGUGCCGCACCCGAAUUCCUCCGAAUGGAGCCUUGGCCAGAGCAAGGCGUGCCGUGUAGAGGAGCGGAUCUGAGCCUGGCAGGAGAUCGCUAAAACCUUUGCCCUUCACACAAACGCGGAAGCACGGGGCGGGUGCUGAAGAGCCAAGCAAGUGUCCCCCAUUUCCUUCCAAGGCAGAGCAGCAGCCCAGGGAGGCCCAGUUUCCAUCGCGGCAGAAGGGCAGAAGAGUGGGGGAGGUCCCAGGACCACAGCCCAGGGGACACUCAGGAUGCGCCAGGAAGGACAUGGCAGACAGGCCCUUUAGGUGGAAAAGCAACCCUCAGCUGCCCAGAGAGCGGCCCCUCCAGGCCCUCCCCGCCGUCUGCAAAGCUCUUCAGCUGGGAGAGGAGGAAAGGGUUUGUUCUUGACCUCCUUCCUUUCCUUUCUUCUCCACUGUCCACCAGAGAGCAGGAAGACAGGCUGAUGCUCUUGUUAAAGAUGAAGGCAUAAUUCACAUGCCAUAAAAUUCACCAUUUUAACCAUUUUAAGGUGCACAGUUCAGUGGUUUUGAGUGCAUUACAUUGUUGGGCAACCAUCAGCAUGGUCUAAUUCCAAAACAUUUCUGUCACUCCAAAAAGAAAUCUUGUACCCAUUAGCAGUCACUCCCCAUUUCCCCCUACCCCCCAGCCCCCCGGCACCCACGAAGGUGCUUUCUCUGUUUCGAGGGAUCUUCCUAUUGUGGCAAAUCCUCUGAAUGGAAUCAUACAAUAUGUGGUCUUCUGCCACUGGCUUCUUUCACUGACCAUAAUUUUUCAAGGUUCACCCACGUUGUAGCAUGCGUCAGCGCUUCAUUCCUUUCCAUGGCUGGACUGUAUUUCAUUGUAUGUCUGGACCACAUUCUGUUUCUCUAGUCAUCAGUUGAUUACUUACUUUUCAGGGCCCACUUAGCCUUUCUUCCCAAGGGCAGGGGCUCUGUUGUCCACUGUUUUGGAGUCUUCCAGCAGACUUGAUGGAGUGUACCAGUGGUUUCCUUGCUGGGCAAAUAACCAGAGGGUCCCUGGGUACGGGAAUCUCUGAGUCCUGAUCUUUGGCUCUGCUGCAGACCAGGUCACUGUAUGAUCUUUUAGCAGCCUCUUUACCUCACCUGGCCUCAGUUUCUUCAUCUGAAAAAUGAAGGGCUUGAAGCAGAUGGUCUCUAACACUUCUCCUGGCCCAACACUUUAAGAUGUUUCAGCAAAGCAGUGAAGAAGCAGCCUUCUGUGACCUUUCUGAACAAGGCAGAGGAAAGCAAGCUGUAGGCUGACAUAGUUAGGUGAUUCCAUAACAAAAUUGCGCUGUAAACAAUCAUCUGGAUCAAUCGACAGAAGGCACUUGCAACAGGUUCCCAGAUGACAGAAAACUAUAGGAAUGACAGGGAAGGAAUGAUGGGGCAGAUUAAAAUGGAGAAAUUUAACAGGGACAAAUGUAAAAGUCGGACAUUUUGCUCCAAAGUUCAACAGAACAGCUACCUGCUUUGUUGGAUAUGUUCAGGCAGUGUCCUUUAUAAGAGUUUGAUUGACUCUAAAUGAAUCUCAUUAUGAGUCACCAUUGGGACAGGCUGCCAAAAGGCCAAUGUGACUUCAGAUUAAAUCAAUAGAGGUCUACUGGCUGAAACAAGGGAGGUGACAUUAUUGAGUCCAUCCCUGGUGUAUGUAGCUGCUACCCUCUGAGAAGGAGGCCCCCAAUAGGAAAAGCCAGAGGGAGGAUGGAUAAGACAUGAAGAGCUCUAGAACCAUGGUUUGGUAGUAGGAGGGGCUCAGGGUUUGGGUCUUUAAAAGAUAAGACAGAGAGUGCUGUUCACAUCUGUGAAGGAACAUGGCAUGAGAAGGGGAGUUGACUUCCACCAUGGGGACCUGCAGGGUGACUGGGGCUGGAAGAUGAUCAAUUGUGACCCAGGACCAGGAAGAACUUCGCAGCAACAAAAGUCACAGGAAAUGGAAAAAACUCCUGGUGAAGAACACAG
rnacentral:lncRNA from 10 species